AUUGAACGCUAGCGGGAUGCCUUACACAUGCAAGUCGAACGGCAGCACGGACUUCGGUCUGGUGGCGAGUGGCGAACGGGUGAGUAAUGUAUCGGAACGUGCCCAGUAGCGGGGGAUAACUACUCGAAAGAGUAGCUAAUACCGCAUACGCCCUACGGGGGAAAGGGGGGGAUCGCAAGACCUCUCACUAUUGGAGCGGCCGAUAUCGGAUUAGCUAGUUGGUGGGGUAAAGGCCCACCAAGGCGACGAUCCGUAGCUGGUUUGAGAGGACGACCAGCCACACUGGGGAUGAGACACGGCCCAGACUCCUACGGGAGGCAGCAGUGGGGAAUUUUGGACAAUGGGGGCAACCCUGAUCCAGCCAUCCCGCGUGUGCGAUGAAGGCCUUCGGGUUGUAAAGCACUUUUGGCAGGAAAGAAAUCGCAUGGGUUAAUACCCUGUGUGGAUGACGGUACCUGCAGAAUAAGCACCGGCUAACUACGUGCCAGCCGCCGCGGUAA
rnacentral:rRNA from 1 species